rnacentral:rRNA from 1 species
GACGAACGCUGGCGGCGUGCUUAACACCUGCAAGUCGAGCGGUAAGGCCCUUUCGGGGGUACACGAGCGGCGAACGGGUGAGUAACACGUGGGUGACCUGCCCUCAGCUCUGGGAUAAGCCUGGGAAACCGGGUCUAAUACUGGAUAUGACUCCAUGACGCAUGUUGUGGGGUGGAAAGCCUUGUGCGGCUGAGGAUGGGCCCGCGGCCUAUCAGCUUGUUGGUGGGGUGAUGGCCUACCAAGGCGACGACGGGUAGCCGGCCUGAGAGGGCGACCGGCCACACUGGGACUGAGACACGGCCCAGACUCCUACGGGAGGCAGCAGUGGGGAAUCUUGCGCAAUGGGCGAAAGCCUGACGCAGCGACGCCGCGUGAGGGAUGACGGCCU